CCCGAAGGUUAAAACGUCAAAAUCGAAAUUNUAACGGGGCCCGCGACAAGACGUAGGAGCAUGCGGUUUAAUUCGGAAUUGCAAACGUCGAAGAGGCCUUUAACCUGGGUCCUUUAGAACAAUAAGUGAGAAUACUCUCCAGAAGAUAGAGACGGGUGACCUUCGGGAAACUCACAUACAGGUGCUAGCAUGGCUGUCGUCAGCUCGUGUACGUGAGAUGUUCGGGUUAAAGUUCCCGCAACGAGCGACAACCCUUUUCCUAUUUGCCAGCGGGUUAAGCCGGGAACUUUAAGGAUACUGACCAGUGACAAACUGGAGGAAGGCGGGGACGACGUCAAGUCUAUCAUGGCCCUUAACGACCAAGGGCUACACACGUGCUACAAUGGUAGGUACAGAGGGUUGCUACACAGCGAAUGUGAUGCUAAUCUACAAAAAGCCUAUCGUAAGUCCGGAUUGGAGUCUGCAACUCGACUCCAUGAAGUCGGGAUCGUCUAGUAAUCGCGGAUUCAGAAUCGCCGACGGUGAAUACGUUCCCGGGCCUUGUACACACCGCCCUGUCGACGCGGCCG
rnacentral:rRNA from 1 species